rnacentral:rRNA from 1 species
GGGGACAGUGAGAGUCAUUACUUAUUAAGGACUGUCCAGCUGUUCAUAAAACCACAGAUAACUAGGGCGUGGCCAAAUCGGGUCCCACCCCCCGGGUAACUACGACCGCCCGAGGUGGUAUCGAUAUUAAUUGGUCUUAAGGCUUCGUUAGCGGGCUGGUCAAUUCUUCGGGAAAUUCCACGGGUUCAACAGAAGGGCUUCCGGAGAUACUACCUAGCUAGGGACUGGGAGAGGCAAAAGGUAUUCAGUGGGUAGGGGUAAAAUCUUGUAAUCCCUGGAGGACCACCAGUGGCGAAGGCGUUUUACCAGAACGGGUUUGACGGUGAGGGAUGAAAGCUGGGGGCACGAACCGGAUUAGAUACCCGGGUAGUCCCAGCCGUAAACGAUGCUCACUAGGUGUACACACAUGGUUAUGCCCAAUGCAGUGCCGCAGGGAAGCCGUGAAGCUAGCCACCUGGGAAGUACGGCCGCAAGUCUGAAACUUAAA